CACAUAAAGUGUGUGUAGCAGAUCGAUCUUCAGGGGCGAAUAAAGGGUAUAACCCUAGUUCAACCAUUUCCUUCAAAUUGAAAGGCUAAUUGAAGCCCGAAUUCAGAAUUGAACAUAUAAUAACGAUCACCUAAUCAUGGGAAUCAUGAGUUUGACGCUUGACAAGCUAGGUGGAGGCUUGGGAAAGAAGCGGGUCAAACGGAUCGAGUACGCGGAUAAAGAGCAAAAAUCGGAUGCAAGGUGAUUGUGGCAAGCAUCCGAACGACGACCAAGCAAUGAAAUGAACCGAACACAUGUCGAAUGAAGCUUCCGCGUUGAUUUUACUUUGUUUUUGUUUUAAGUGAACCAUGUAACCACUUGAAACUAUAUUUUGAAUACUUUAAACAUGUUUGAUAGUUAAUUGAAAAAAGUUUUUGUAAAGUCGCAUUUUUCG